rnacentral:rRNA from 1 species
UGGGGAAUUUUGGACAAUGGGCGAAAGCCUGAUCCAGCAAUGCCGCGUGUGUGAAGAAGGCCUUCGGGUUGUAAAGCACUUUUGUCCGGAAAGAAAUCCUUGGCUCUAAUACAGUCGGGGGAUGACGGUACCGGAAGAAUAAGCACCGGCUAACUACGUGCCAGCAGCCGCGGUAAUACGUAGGGUGCAAGCGUUAAUCGGAAUUACUGGGCGUAAAGCGUGCGCAGGCGGUUUGCUAAGACCGAUGUGAAAUCCCCGGGCUCAACCUGGGAACUGCAUUGGUGACUGGCAGGCUAGAGUAUGGCAGAGGGGGGUAGAAUUCCACGUGUAGCAGUGAAAUGCGUAGAGAUGUGGAGGAAUACCGAUGGCGAAGGCAGCCCCCUGGGCCAAUACUGACGCUCAUGCACGAAAGCGUGGGGAGCAAACAGGAUUAGAUACCCUGGUAGUCCACGCCCUAAACGAUGUCAACUAGUUGUUGGGGAUUCAUUUCCUUAGUAACGUAGCUAACGCGUGAAGUUGACCGCCUGGGGAGUACGGUCGCAAGAUUAAAACUCAAAUGGAAUUGACGGGGUCAUA